rnacentral:rRNA from 1 species
AUUGAACGCUGGCGGCAUGCCUUACACAUGCAAGUCGAACGGUAACAGGUCUUCGGAUGCUGACGAGUGGCGGACGGGUGAGUAAUACAUCGGAACGUGCCCGAUCGUGGGGGAUAACGAGGCGAAAGCUUUGCUAAUACCGCAUACGAUCUACGGAUGAAAGCGGGGGAGCUUCGGACCUCGCGCGGACGGAGCGGCCGAUGGCAGAUUAGGUAGUUGGUGGGAUAAAAGCUUACCAAGCCGACGAUCUGUAGCUGGUCUGAGAGGAUGAUCAGCCACACUGGGACUGAGACACGGCCCAGACUCCUACGGGAGGCAGCAGUGGGGAAUUUUGGACAAUGGGCGAAAGCCUGAUCCAGCCAUGCCGCGUGCAGGAUGAAGGCCUUCGGGUUGUAAACUGCUUUUGUACGGAACGAAAAGCCUCUUUCUAAUAAAGAGGGGUCAUGACGGUACCGUAAGAAUAAGCACCGGCUAACUACGUG